CACUGGGCUCAGCCACCUGGACAUCACAAAGGCCCUGGCUGCCCAGGGCUGCCCCCAGAAGGGGCUCACACCAACAGAGGGUUUCAUUGCGGCAGCUGGACCAGCAGGACGUGCUGAGUAACAGUCAAACACGCCAGGAUUUCUGCCACGAGUCACGUUUUUUACUUGACGAUUAAGAGCAAGUGCUGGAGAGGGAAACAGCCCUCCAUCAAGUCCAUCCAGAGAAUGGAGUCUUCUAACUCUCCCUCCUCCUCCUGGACCUCCAGGGGCCAAGCUCAGGAGACAGCAAUUUAGAAACAGGAGGUUGCUCUCUAGCAAGGAAUUGUCUCAAGGAAGGAUACGUACCCAAGCGGAUCUAGUCAUAGAGAAUCUGGGAAUCUGUGUAAGCACUAUUAAUAAAUGAGUGUCCCUCAUAUGCUGGCUCGAGCAUAUACUUAUAUAGAAGGA